UCCCCAGCACCAGCCACAGUCAUAAGGAGAGGAGGCAGCGCUGCUCACUGCCUCUGCCUGGCUUCUCCCUGCCUCCUCUCCCUGCAGAAACUAUGAACAUUAGUAGAAUACUGCAAAGAAGAUAUGUAAUUUGACUACAGCUCUCAACAUAUUCGACUGCCUUAUACUUCUAUAGGCAUCCUGAAACUCCUAGGCUUCUUGGAAAAGUGAUCCGGACCCGUUUAGCUGCUCCUACCUCCAAAGAUAAAGCGGUGUCCGCCUCAAUCGAUCAUGAGAGGAUAGAGAAGUCUCAUCAUUAACCGGGUUA